rnacentral:rRNA from 1 species
UAGGGAAUCUUCCGCAAUGGACGAAAGUCUGACGGAGCAACGCCGCGUGAGCGAAGAAGGCCUUCGGGUCGUAAAGCUCUGUUGUUAGGGAAGAACAAGUAACGUAGUAACUGGCGUUACUGUGACGGUACCUAACGAGAAAGCCACGGCUAACUACGUGCCAGCAGCCGCGGUAAUAAGUAGGUGGCAAGCGGUGUCCGGAAUUAUUGGGCGUAAAGCGCGCGCAGGCGGGUCCUUCAGUCUGAUGUG